rnacentral:tRNA from 1 species
GGAGAUGUACUCAAGUGGCUGAAGAGGCUCCCCUGCUAAGGGAGUAGGCCGUUAACGCGGCGCGGAGGUUCAAAUCCUCUCAUCUCCG